rnacentral:rRNA from 1 species
GGGAAUUUUGGACAAUGGGCGAAAGCCUGAUCCAGCCAUGCCGCGUGAGUGAAGAAGACCUUCGGGCUGUAAAGCUCUUUUAGUCGGAAAGAAAGAGUUGCAAUGAAUAAUUGUGAUUUAUGACGGUACCGACAGAAAAAGCACCGGCUAACUACGUGCCAGCAGCCGCGGUAAUACGUAGGGUGCGAGCGUUAAUCGGAAUUACUGGGCGUAAAGGGUGCGCAGGCGGUCUUGCAAGUCAGAUGUGAAAGCCCCGGGCUUAACCUGGGAAUUGCGUUUGAAACUACAAGGCUAGAGUGCAGCAGAGGGGAGUGGAAUUCCAUGUGUAGCAGUGAAAUGCGUAGAGAUGUGAAAGAACACCGAUGGCGAAGGCAGCUCCCUGGGUUGACACUGACGCUCAUGCACGAAAGCGUGGGGGGCAAACA